rnacentral:tRNA from 1 species
UUCCCUGUGGUGUAAUGGUAGCACAGUGGGUUUUGAGUCCACUUGUCUAGGUUCGAGUCCUAGCGGGGAUA